UGAGGGGGGGGCGCUCGGCACAAAGAAAGUGGAAAGUUUGCAGCGCUAGGCGGCCCAGGCUAGGGAGCCCGAUGCGCACGUGCUGGGCCGGGGCCACCGAGACCCCCCACGCCGAGCUCACUGCUUUCUUCUUUCUGCAAGCUGGGGGGGGUGUUGUUGGUAUCGCCCCCUCCUUCUCCUCCCCCCAGGGGUGAAAGUGCAAGAGGAAGUGCAGCCGCUGCCAUCUUUCCUCCGUUCCGAACGCACGGAGCCUGGGGCCGCAGCGCCGCCGCCACUCGUGCCUGGCUUGGGAAAGGGCCCACCCUGCUGCAGCCACCCGCUCGCUUCGGUCGCCGCCUUCGCCGGGCUCCAAGACCCGGCCUACGCCAC
rnacentral:lncRNA from 1 species